rnacentral:rRNA from 1 species
CAGUCGCCGCGGGAAUACGGAGGGAGCUAGCGUUGUUCGGAAUUACUGGGCGUAAAGCGCACGUAGGCGGCUUUGUAAGUUAGAGGUGAAAGCCUGGAGCUCAACUCCAGAACUGCUUUUAAGACUGCAUCGCUUGAAUCCAGGAGAGGUGAGUGGAAUUCCGAGUGUAGAGGUGAAAUUCGUAGAUAUUCGGAAGAACACCAGUGGCGAAGGCGGCUCACUGGACUGGUAUUGACGCUGAGGUGCGAAAGCGUGGGGAGCAAACAGGAUUAGAUACCCGCGUAGUCCCUGUCUCUUAUAC